UGAUCCCUCUCCAGCUGUGCUGCAUGUUUUGGGGGUACUGGGGGCAUGGGGGGGAGGUCCCUCCCCAUGCCCACCUCCUUCACGGACAAAAAAGAAAUGCUGCAGAAGAAAAAAGCAGAGCUCUGGGCUGAACACGCAGCCAAGGAAAAGCCUUGAGAGGUGCUGUAUAUAAUAAGAAAGCACAAAGUCAUAAGACCUGGGUGAGAAAAAGAUUUAAGAAGAAAAAGAUGUCACAAAAUCUAUAGCGUGCGGAUGAAGAACCCGAAGCACAAGAGCCGGAGUUUGAAGACGUUCAAUGGUGGCAGCUCGUGGUGUUCUGCUGAGUCUGGGGACUGUGGGGACAUCCUGGCUUGGCUGUCACCCACCGCCCAUGUCCUGCAAUGCCAACA